rnacentral:lncRNA from 1 species
UCUGAAUAUUUGUGUCGCCCCAAAGUUGAAAUAUUGAAACCUAACCCCCAAUGUGAUGGUAUAAGGAGGUGGGGCCUUUGGGAGGUGAUUAAGUCAUGAGGCUGGCACUUUCAUGGAUGGGAUUUGUACCCUUAUAAAAGAGGCAGGAGGGAGUUUGUUCGCCCCUUCAGCCAUGUGAAGACACAAAUGGAAGAUGUCAACUAUGAGCAGAGAGCCCUCACUGGACACCAGAUCUGCUAGCACGUUGAUCUUGGACUUCUCAGCCUCCAGAAUUGUGAGCAAUAAAUUUCUGUUGUUUAUAAAUUAUCCAGUCCAAGGUAUUUCAUGAUGGCAGCACAGAUGGACUAAGAUACUUGCCAAGGGCAUCUAACAAGGGACAGCAUUUUAAUAAUGGCCUCAGUCUCCCCUUCUGUACAACGAGAAGCAGGAGAGAGAGUCAUCACAGUUCUUUCCA